ACCGUACUCCUACGGGAGGCAGCAGUGGGGAAUAUUGGACAAUGGGGGAAACCCUGAUCCAGCAAUGCCGCGUGAGUGAUGAAGGCCUUAGGGUUGUAAAACUCUUUUACCCGGGAUGAUAAUGACAGUACCGGGAGAAUAAGCUCCGGCUAACUCCGUGCCAGCAGCCGCGGUAAUACGGAGGGAGCUAGCGUUGUUCGGAAUUACUGGGCGUAAAGCGCACGUAGGCGGCUAUUCAAGUCAGAGGUGAAAGCCCGGGGCUCAACCCCGGAACUGCCUUUGAAACUAGAUAGCUUGAAUCCAGGAGAGGUGAGUGGAUUUCCGAGUGUAGAGGUGAAAUUCGUAGAUAUUCGGAAGAACACCAGUGGCGAAGGCGGCUCACUGGACUGGUAUUGACGCUGAGGUGCGAAAGCGUGGGGAGCAAACAGGAUUAGAAACCCGUGUAGUCCUUGAC
rnacentral:rRNA from 1 species